rnacentral:rRNA from 1 species
AAAUUGAAGAGUUUGAUCAUGGCUCAGAUUGAACGCUGGCGGCAGGCCUAACACAUGCAAGUCGAACGGUAACAGGAAACAGCUUGCUGAUUUGCUGACGAGUGGCGGACGGGUGAGUAAUGUCUGGGAAACUGCCUGAUGGAGGGGGAUAACUACUGGAAACGGUAGCUAAUACCGCAUAACGUCGCAAGACCAAAGAGGGGGACCUUCGGGCCUCUUGCCAUCGGAUGUGCCCAGAUGGGAUUAGCUAGUAGGUGGGGUAACGGCUCACCUAGGCGACGAUCCCUAGCUGGUCUGAGAGGAUGACCAGCCACACUGGAACUGAGACACGGUCCAGACUCCUACGGGAGGCAGCAGUGGGGAAUAUUGCACAAUGGGCGCAAGCCUGAUGCAGCCAUGCCGCGUGUAUGAAGAAGGCCUUCGGGUUGUAAAGUACUUUCAGCGGGGAGGAAGGGAGUAAAGUUAAUACCUUUGCUCAUUGACGUUACCCGCAGAAGAAGCACCGGCUAACUCCGUGCCAGCAGCCGCGGUAAUACGGAGGGUGCAAGCGUUAAUCGGAAUUACUGGGCGUAAAGCGCACGCAGGCGGUUUGUUAAGUCAGAUGUGAAAUCCCCGGGCUCAACCUGGGAACUGCAUCUGAUACUGGCAAGCUUGAGUCUCGUAGAGGGGGGUAGAAUUCCAGGUGUAGCGGUGAAAUGCGUAGAGAUCUGGAGGAAUACCGGUGGCGAAGGCGGCCCCCUGGACGAAGACUGACGCUCAGGUGCGAAAGCGUGGGGAGCAAACAGGAUUAGAUACCCUGGUAGUCCACGCCGUAAACGAUGUCGACUUGGAGGUUGUGCCCUUGAGGCGUGGCUUCCGGAGCUAACGCGUUAAGUCGACCGCCUGGGGAGUACGGCCGCAAGGUUAAAACUCAAAUGAAUUGACGGGGGCCCGCACAAGCGGUGGAGCAUGUGGUUUAAUUCGAUGCAACGCGAAGAACCUUACCUGGUCUUGACAUCCACGGAAGUUUUCAGAGAUGAGAAUGUGCCUUCGGGAACCGUGAGACAGGUGCUGCAUGGCUGUCGUCAGCUCGUGUUGUGAAAUGUUGGGUUAAGUCCCGCAACGAGCGCAACCCUUAUCCUUUGUUGCCAGCGGUCCGGCCGGGAACUCAAAGGAGACUGCCAGUGAUAAACUGGAGGAAGGUGGGGAUGACGUCAAGUCAUCAUGGCCCUUACGACCAGGGCUACACACGUGCUACAAUGGCGCAUACAAAGAGAAGCGACCUCGCGAGAGCAAGCGGACCUCAUAAAGUGCGUCGUAGUCCGGAUUGGAGUCUGCAACUCGACUCCAUGAAGUCGGAAUCGCUAGUAAUCGUGGAUCAGAAUGCCACGGUGAAUACGUUCCCGGGCCUUGUACACACCGCCCGUCACACCAUGGGAGUGGGUUGCAAAAGAAGUAGGUAGCUUAACCUUCGGGAGGGCGCUUACCACUUUGUGAUUCAUGACUGGGGUGAAGUCGUAACAAGGUAACCGUAGGGGAACCUGCGGUUGGAUCACCUCCUUACCUUAAAGAAGC